rnacentral:piRNA from 1 species
UAAGAUUGUUCAGAAGACAGCAAAAGGUGU